rnacentral:rRNA from 1 species
GGAAAUCUCACCAGGCCCGGACACUGGAAGGAUUGACAGAUUGAUAGCUCUUUCUUGAUUCGGUGGGUUGUGGUGCAUGGCCGUUCUUAGUUGGUUGAGUGAUUUGUCUUGUUAAUUCCGAUAACGAACGAGACCUUAACCUGCUAAAUAGUGACGCGGUUCAUCGAACCGUGGGCCACUUCUUAGAGGGACUAUCGGAUUCAAACCGAUGGAAGUGUGAGGCAAUAA